rnacentral:rRNA from 1 species
UACGAAGGGGGCUAGCGUUGUUCGGAACCACUGGGCGUAAAGGGCGCGUAGGCGGCCGAUCAAGUCGGGGGUGAAAGCCUGUGGCUCAACCACAGAAUUGCCUUCGAUACUGUUUGGCUUGAGACCGGAAGAGGUUAGUGGAACUGCGAGUGUAGAGGUGAAAUUCGUAGAUAUUCGCAAGAACACCAGUGGCGAAGGCGGCUGACUGGUCCGGUUCUGACGCUGAGGCGCGAAAGCUAGGGGAGCGAACGGG